rnacentral:rRNA from 1 species
GAUGAACGCUGGCGGCGUGCCUAAUACAUGCAAGUAGAACGCUGAAGGAAGGAGCUUGCUCUUUCCGGAUGAGUUGCGAACGGGUGAGUAACGCGUAGGUAACCUGCCUGGUAGCGGGGGAUAACUAUUGGAAACGAUAGCUAAUACCGCAUAACAGUAGAUGUUGCAUGACAACUAUUUGAAAGGGGCAAUUGCUCCACUACCAGAUGGACCUGCGUUGUAUUAGCUAGUUGGUGAGGUAACGGCUCACCAAGGCGACGAUACAUAGCCGACCUGAGAGGGUGAUCGGCCACACUGGGACUGAGACACGGCCCAGACUCCUACGGGAGGCAGCAGUAGGGAAUCUUCGGCAAUGGACGGAAGUCUGACCGAGCAACGCCGCGUGAGGGAAGAAUGGUUUCGGAUCGUAAAGCUCUGUUGUAAGAGAAGAACGAGUGUGAGAGUGGAAAGCUCACACUGUGACGGUAUCUUACCAGAAAGGGACGGCUAACUACGUG